UACGAAGGGAGCUAGCGUUGUUCGGAAUCACUGGGCGUAAAGCGCACGUAGGCGGAUUUGUAAGUCAGGGGUGAAAUCCCGGGGCUCAACCUCGGAACUGCCUUUUGAUACUGCAAAUCUCGAGUCCGAUAGAGGUGGGUGGAAUUCCUAGUGUAGAGGUGAAAUUCGUAGAUAUUAGGAAGAACACCGGUGGCGAAGGCGGCCCACUGGAUCGGUACUGACGCUGAGGCGCGAAAGCUAGGGGAGCAAACGGG
rnacentral:rRNA from 1 species